GGGAGCAUAGCUCAGUUGGUUAGAGCACCUGCUUUACACGCAGGGGGUCACAGGUUCGAGUCCUGUUGUUCCCACCA
rnacentral:tRNA from 1 species